CGAGACGAUUUUCACCGCACGAUGAAUCCACCACAGUACUUUUUUGGCUGCUGGCAGCUGGUCAACCGUUGGCUUUUUCUCACAUUAGUGUAAGCUUUUAGAGAGGAUGACGGGUGGGACUCGUUGGCUGUGGGGUCAUGCUACUGAUGUGAGUUUUCUCCAGUUUUUGGUACACGAGGUGUGCAUCGCGUCCUUGCCAAUCGUGGCCUGGGUAAAAGGAACCCUAGAGCCCUCCGCAGGCGCCUCCCUCCUCUCGCGCUUCCUCCCCAUGACCCCACCUCGCCUCGCGCCGCCGCCCAUCUCCGCCUCCUCUCUCACGUCCUCCCUACCACCAUGGCCUAGCCCACCCUCGUCAGCGACCUCCCCAAGCCCCCUCUCUCUCGGGGGUGCUUCUGGUCGCAAUCUGGAAGAAGAAAAGGAGACCCCAGAAGAAGUUAGAGUGUCCUGGUGGUGGCUAGAUCGAUGCAGCUGACGGCGAGUGCCGGUGAGCGACGGGGAUGCCCCUACCUCUCCGCACCUUCUCCCAGGUUCCCGAUCUGGAACGGGUCGGACGGACGCCGGCGAGGCCAGCCUCCCCUUCACAUGCAGUUGGACCAUACUUGGUACAUGAGCCUUGUCGUGAGUAGUGGUGCAAUAGUGACCUCGACGAGGAGGGAAAUGUCCAGAAUCCAGACAUGAGUAAGGCACCAAAGAUGACUGGAAGCACUCAAAAAAGUUUACCACACUGGAGCUAUGUCAGGUACCUACUGACCUCGACGAGCAGGGAAAUGUCCAGACUCCAGACAUGAGUAAGGCACCAAAGAUGACUGGAAGCACUCAAAAAGUUUACCACGUUGGAGCUAUGUCAGGUUGUACAAGGGCAGUUAAUGAAUAUACUUGCGUUCCUUUUACUCUUAGAGUCUCCUCCUUUUCUCGCUGCUGAAUCCCUGCCACCAUCAUGUCCAGACUGGUUGUCUCCAUGGUUGUGGUGCCAAGGUCACCGCAUCUUACAUCCUGAUGCAUUUUCAAGAAGACAUUAUUUGAUGUUAGAUGGCCAUUAUGUUCGUGUCAUGUGGACAGAGGACUAAUGGUACUCUUCCAUGAAGAGAAGCAAAUGGAUCAGUAUGUAGUAGCAGGUGCUUUGGAAAGUACAACUGUACAAUUAUGCGACAUAAUAAUGCCUGGAAAUUGGCCUAUGGCUGUAUCAUUUAAGAUAUUUUGGCGUCUCUGCCAUCCGAUGGUUGUUCAACUUCUCUUUUGAAACGAGGCUAUCUAGAGGAUUUCAAGUUAUGUCUUAGGAAGACAUUGGUGAAGAUUUGAGAGGCAGGGAGGGAUUGCUCAAGUGGAAACAGAGCAAGAACCAGAAGGAGCUUAAGAUUUUGCUACUACCUUGCUAAUAGCUUUCUGAGAUCAGUUAGGUAUUAUCCAGGCCCAGGUACCCAUCCUUGAUGAUGGAUUCCACGAGCUAAGCUGCAGGGGUGAACUAAGUUGGGAUUUUGCAGCAGCGACGGUCACAACUACCGGUGGAGAUCGAGCUAACGAUCUCCCAAAAAAUUCUACAGAUUCAUCAAACACCGAAGGAGGUUAGUGUAUACCUGAGCGGCAACGGCUGCCAUUGUGGUCUUGCUGGAGCCUCCUUUGCCGUGGAAAGUCACCAGCUUCAGGGAGCGACAGUGGCAACUGCAAGGAUUCGGCUCGCCGAUACGAGCAACGACGACCCCAUUUGCCGAUUCCGCAGCUCCGAGCUGCAGCAGGACCUACCGGGCCACCGAGAUGCAGAUGGAGUUGUUGUGCCUCCGAGCUGUCGGGAUGCAGUGCCUUUGAGCUGCAGUAGGAGCCGCUCCGCUGCCAAGCUACAACAUGAGCCGUCCACGAAGAUGGCGCCCAAGGUGCCCUCGUCGGCCUCCUCUUGGUGCUUUCUUACUUCACUUCAGUACGAGUAAGGGGGAGGGGAACAGGACGAAGAUCUGGUCGAUGGAACCAAGGAUGCCAGACACGUGGUUGGUGUUCUGUGUCCUGGUGGCAGUCCGUGAAGCAACUAUUGACGUCUGUUUUUGUCCCUCAGCACAUGUAUCUUGAGGGCAAGAUUGUAAUUUUCUUUUAUCUUUGAGGCUUGUGAUGUUACUCAAAUUGUAAUCCUGGUGGAGCCUUUUGGUUCUGGUUUUAAUGAAAGCAGGGAGGCCCCCUCCUUGGGAGGGUAGGGCUCGGAGUUUGCC